AGCGAACGUUUGCGGCGGGCCUAACACAUGCAAGUCGAACGGGCAGUCCCUUCGGGGGCUGUCAGUGGCGCACGGGUGCGUAACACGUAGGUAAUCAACCCUCGGGUUCGGGAUAACACUUCGAAAGGGGUGCUAAUACCGGAUGCGACGAGCGUCUCCUCGGAGAUGCACGGGAAAGAUCCGCAAGGGCCGCCCGAGGACGAGCCUGCGGCCCAUCAGCUUGUUGGUGAGGUAAUGGCUCACCAAGGCUAAGACGGGUAGCUGGUCUGAGAGGAUGAUCAGUCACACUGGAACUGAGACACGGUCCAGACUCCUACGGGAGGCAGCAGUGGGGAAUAUUGCGCAAUGGGCGAAAGCCUGACGCAGCCACGCCGCGUGAGCGAUGAAGGCC
rnacentral:rRNA from 1 species